rnacentral:lncRNA from 1 species
CUGUCUCGAUAAAUUGCUCGAAAUUUAUCUUGUCCACCCGACCUAGCCUUCUAACUAACAAUUUAUUAUAUAUGUUAUAAACCGUAAAGUAGUGUGCCGGGGAAACAAAAUUAACUACCCUAUAAGCCGCCUCGAACUGACGUACGUCUUCCAUGAUCACCUGUCCUGAGCCACAAGUUUUUAAUAGCCACUAAAUUCUCUAAUGCUCUCAUUCUUGGGUUCCAUUCCUUAUUAAAGAAUCAAUGUUUAGCAGCUUUAUGCAUCACCACCAGGUCAACGGUGUUAUCGGCCAUUCUAUUCAAAUACAAAUCAGAUUAUGAAUACAUAUUAUCAGUUUUUCUAGGUCUCAAGGUCAAAAACAAAAUCAAUGAAAAUAUAUCAUUAAUUUUGAAUAAACCAAUUCAAACUUCAAAAUUUUCAAAAUCCAUCAUACUUCAUUAAGCAUAAAAAUAACACUAUUAAAUUUACCUUGGAGUAGGAGCGCGUGGCGAAGAUGUGGUGUUUAGAAUUUUUUAUUAUUAUUUUUUUUCUCAAGUCUACAGAAACGUAGACCUGCUCUGAUACCACUAAAUGUAACACCCUAAUUAUAAAUUUUGUUCUAAUUAAAUAUCAUAUAGUAUUUUCGCAAAAAUAUCGACAACCUCAAAUAAUGUAAUUCCAAAAUCCUGUAGAGAACUCAAUAAUCGAAAGUAAACCGACCAAAUAAUAUUUUUAGGAAAAUAAUCACCAUACACACUAGACGGAAAACAUAAUGUUAAUUUACCAAAGUACCUAAUAUAAUAUGAGAAAGUCAAAUAUGAUUCACUAGAAAUUCAUAAACUUUACCUUUAAAGUAAACUAAACUUCAAAUCCUAAGUUUUCCUUAACCAAUAAAGGGUCUUUAGUAAUAUUAAAGAAAGUUUUCAUAACAUAUCCUAAGCACCACACACAUCCAUCACGCAUCUCCUUGCUCCUCGCCUGAAAAAGUUUUAAAUAAAAUGGGGUGAGUAUUUUAAAUAUACUCAGUGAGGGGGAAUUCAUAACUAAUCUUUUACUUUGUCCAAACGUGCAACAUAGCAUAUGAAAUAUAAAAUCAUAACUUCAACCAUAAACCAACAACUUGCUCAAAUAACAAGAGAGGAAAUAUGGGACAUAACUUCAACCACAUUUCAAUACAACACAUAAGAAAGUAUGAACACAUGGGACAUAUCACUUCAAUUGUGCACCGGAACAUAAACUUGGCAUAUUGCUAUAUUCUCACAUCAUAAUCUCAUUCAUAAAUCAUAGCAUAUGUAAACACGUUGGACAUAAAAUAACUUUUUCAGUAAAUAACUUAAAAUAUUUUCUUGCGGAAUUUAAACAUAAAAUAAAGGAACUUUCUUUAUUUUUACCCACCUCAAAUCUUUGAUAGCAAACUUGACUAACGUUUGGCUCAAUUAGGAUCUNUCCAGUUCUUGGCUCAUUCGCUCUUCCUUUGGGACAUGUAUUUGCAAAAUGUCCCGGCUCGGCACACUUAAAACAAACUCCUUUGUUCCAUAAACACUUGCCUGCGUGAAACUUCUUGCAUUCCGGGCACUGAGGUCGCUGUGCUCCUCCUGGACGUACUUCUCCUAUCUUCUUAUUUGGAAAGUUUUCCUUCCCCUUGUUACUGGUGUCAAACUUUCUCUUCCCACUGUUGUCUCCAGCUUUGAAUGGCACAACAUCAGCCUCCAAACCAGUUGCUACCUCAUGAGCUCGUCUUACCGCCAAUCCAUAAUCCACAAUCUCUUGUCCCGCCAAAAUACCCCGAAUUUCAGGUCGAAGCCCUCUUAAGAACCGAUCAGCCUUAAGAUCCUCAGUAUUCACCAUACGAGUAGCAUAGCGAGCCAAAAGAUUGAACUUUCUCUCGUAUUCUGUGACUGACAUGGUUCCUUGUUUGAGAUCUAGGAAUUCUGCUUGCUUUUGAUUUCGGUAUGAACGUGGAAAAUACUUGUCCAUUACAACUUCCUUGAACCUGUUCCAAGUAAGUCCUUGACGUUGAGCCUCCGUCAUUCCAUUCUUAUACGACCUCCACCAAUGACCGGCAUCUUCAGUGAAUUGGAAAGUUGCACAGGACACUUUGUGCGCGUCAGCACACUCUAUGUGCUCAAAUAUCCUUUCCAAUUCCAUCACCCACUCCUCAAGUGCUAACGGCCCACUCUUUCCAUCAAAUCUUGGCGGUGUAUAACGACGGAACUGCUCAAUCACUUGAUGGUUUGGUUUGAGCUGGUGCAUUGUUAGGAAGAUUAUGCACUUGAGUUUGUGUUGGCAAAACCUUGGAGUGCAGUAAUCAAAUUUUGUAUUAAGUUUCCAUCGCCAACAUUUGCUUCUGCAUCAUUCCCGGUGUUGUCAUUGAGAUUUGGAUUGUUUCUUUGUGGACGUCCUCGUCUCAUUUUCCUAGAAAUUCAACAUAAUUACUUGUUGAAUAUAUAAAUAAGGGAUAGAUAUAUUUAUAUAUAUAUUAAAGGCAUACACCUUCACUUACUAAUACCACAUAAUAUUCAACUUAUAAUAGUGAAUAAUAACUCAAUAAAAUAUUCAAAACACAAAGAAAUCUUGUCCAAUAUUAUUAUAUCCUGACGAAAAUAAAUAAUCCAAAGGAAUAACUUGUUCUCAAAUCCAAAACUAAAUUUCAAGGGAAAACAAAAUAACAUAAUAGAAUUUCGAAGGUGAUCCUAACUUCUAGUCCUCGUACUCGUCAUCAUUGCAGAUGACGGAUUCGUCAUCUGCAUCGUUGUCUCCUUCUCGGGGUCCUCUUCCGGAUCCUCUUCCUCCGAGCUAACUUCUAUAGGCUCAUAGUUCUCGUCAAUUUUCGUGUAUUCCGUUGUACUCAUCGUGAAUCUUCUGACCUACUGUCUCGAUAAACUGCUCGAAAUUUAUUUUAUCCACCCGACCUGGCCUUCUAACUAACAAUUUAUUAUAUAUGUUAUAAACCGUAAAGUAGUGUGCUGGGGAAACAAAAUUAACUACCCUAUAAGCCGCCUCGAACUGGCGUACUCGUCUUCCAUGAUCACCUGUCCUGAGCCACAAGUUUUUAAUAGCCACUAGAUUCUCUAAUGCUCCCAUUCUUGGGUUCCAUUCUUUAUUAAAGAACCG